AUUGAACGCUGGCGGCAUGCCUUACACAUGCAAGUCGAACGGUAACAGGUCUUCGGAUGCUGACGAGUGGCGAACGGGUGAGUAAUACAUCGGAAUGUGCCUAGCAGUGGGGGAUAACUACUCGAAAGAGUGGCUAAUACCGCAUGAGAUCUACGGAUGAAAGCAGGGGAUCGCAAGACCUUGUGCUACUAGAUCGGCCGAUGGCAGAUUAGGUAGUUGGUGGGAUAAAAGCUUACCAAGCCGACGAUCUGUAGCUGGUCUGAGAGGACGAUCAGCCACACUGGGACUGAGACACGGCCCAGACUCCUACGGGAGGCAGCAGUGGGGAAUUUUGGACAAUGGGCGAAAGCCUGAUCCAGCAAUGCCGCGUGCAGGGUGAAGGCCUUCGGGUUGUAAACUGCUUUUGUACGGAACGAAAAGCCCCGGGUUAAUACCCUGGGGUCAUGACGGUACCGUAAGAAUAAGCACCGGCUAACUACGUGCCAGCCGCCGCGGUAA
rnacentral:rRNA from 1 species